UCAUAAGAACAACAAUCACCCAAACGAAAGCCUUUAUGAAACUAAAGACUAAAGGAGGAUUUAGCAGUAAAUUAAGAAUAGAGAGCUUAAUUGAAUCAGGCCAUAAAGCACGCACACACCGCCCGUCACCCUCCUUAAAUACCACUAAACCAAAACCAUAAUAUAUUAACACACAUUAAACGUA
rnacentral:rRNA from 1 species